GGCAGCGGCGGCGUGGCGCAGCGGCGACAGUAAGUGCGGGCCGGCUCGGGCUCUUCCGGCUACGGUCCCGGCCGCCCCCAGACUCGCGCUCAGCGACCUCCCUCCCGGGCCCUGGGGGCGGCUGCGGGCUGCCAGGGGAGCCGCAGGACCCUACCCCAUCCGUGGUCCCUUCCCCACCGUCCCUCCUCUCUCUCCUUGCUCUCUGCCACCCCUCUUUCUGGGUCUCUAUCUUCUCUUCCCCAAAUCCUCUCCCCUCCUCCUCCCUGAGACUGGACCUCACCGCCUGUAUGGUGGGGGCCUGGUAUGGACCCGUCGGCCCGAAGUAUCCAGACGGUGGCUGAUUCUCUCGGUCCCAGCUGCGGGGCCUGAGGCUGGGGCUGUUUACACCGCAAAGCCGGUUCUGCCGCGGCCAGUAGGCGGUGCCCUGCGCUUCCCAGUGCCUUCCCACAGUGGCCGUUGUCUCAGAGGACGACUUUCAGCACAGUUCAAACUCCACCUACAGAACCACAAGCAGCAGUCUCCGAGCUGACCAGGAGGCACUGCUUGAGAAGCUGCUGGACCGCCCGCCCCCUGGCCUGCAGAGGCCCGAGGACCGCUUCUGUGGCACAUACAUCAUCUUCUUCAGCCUGGGCAUUGGCAGUCUACUGCCAUGGAACUUCUUUAUCACUGCCAAGGAGUACUGGAUGUUCAAACUCCGCAACUCCUCCAGCCCAGCCACCGGGGAGGACCCUGAGGGCUCAGACAUCCUG
rnacentral:lncRNA from 10 species